CCUAUCUGUCGCCGCUGCUGUGCAUGCACAAACAGCGGGUUCGUCCUCCUCCCCACGCCGUUGUUCCACGCGGUGGAAAACCCACCGCUGCUAUCCCGCUCUCCGUCGGUUCUCACCGUCGCCGUGUCGACAAGUAUAAUUUGUCAAGAUUUGAAUUUAUUGGAAGUCAUAGGGUGUGGGGCUGCCCCCGUCGUCUCCGAGCUGCCGUGAGGAAGUCGCUGGAAUCCGGCAGAUUUGUACACAUAAGAUAAGCUUUCUCAUUCUUUCUAGUUAUUAAGGCAGCAGGAUUCUAGGUUUGAUUCUGUUUACUGAUUUUGGUGAAUUGUGUGUAUAUGCCUGCUAUUUGGAAGACUCAAAGGUGAAAUAUGCUGAUUAAACUUGAUGAGCCAGAUUCUACUCCCAACCAUAUUUAUAUAUGCAUGCUCUUACAUAUCAGAAGGAAAAGAAAGUGUUUGGGAUUUACCUUUGAUGUGGAAAUAAAGUAUGGUUGGAUUGUAGUGCUUGACUCUAUAAUUGUAUGCAAAUCUCCCUCCUCGGACUCCUCUAUCCUAUGUGGUGUCGGUGUGUGCAGAGAAUUUAGAAUUUGAUGGUGAUAUGGUGAGUGACAAAAAGAUUUGUAUAUAUAUACAUAUACACAAAAAGAUGGCAAGUGAAAGUGACGGUAUAGCAAGUUGGUGGAGCAAGUUCUUAUCUCAAAUAUCAUAUUCUUAUCUCAAAUUAAAUGAAGCAUUUAAUGUUUCUGAAAAGUUGAUCCUCUAGGAUAUGCUCUAUCCCUUUGUUUUUAUUUAUUUAUUUUAUUUUAUUUUAUUAUUUAAAUAAUUAAUUGAGUAUUUAUUUAAUUGUUUAUUUAAUUUGAUGUAGAUAUAAUUGGUUCAAGUCUGUGGCUGCCCGCGCUGAAGUACCCAAUUUGCUUAGAACGUACAAUGUAUUAAAUUUUGAUGGACUUUUGUUGGAUGUAAUGAACAUUAGAAUUUUGAUUAUGGUACUUUAUUUAUUAA